GACGAACGCUGGCGGCGUGCUUAACACAUGCAAGUCGAACGGAAAGGCCCUGCUUUUGUGGGGUGCUCGAGUGGCGAACGGGUGAGUAACACGUGAGUAACCUGCCCUUGACUUUGGGAUAACUUCAGGAAACUGGGGCUAAUACCGGAUAGGAGCUCCUGCUGCAUGGUGGGGGUUGGAAAGUUUCGGCGGUUGGGGAUGGACUCGCGGCUUAUCAGCUUGUUGGUGGGGUAGUGGCUUACCAAGGCUUUGACGGGUAGCCGGCCUGAGAGGGUGACCGGCCACAUUGGGACUGAGAUACGGCGCAGACUGCUACGGGAGGCAGCAGUGGGGAAUAUUGCACAGUGGGCGGAAGCCUGAUGCAGAAACGCCGCGUGCGGGAUGACGGCCUUCGGGUUGUAAACCGCUUUAGCCUGUGACGAAGCGUGAGUGACGGUAAUGGGUAAAGAAGCACCGGCUAACUACGUG
rnacentral:rRNA from 1 species